GACGGAGGAGGCAAGCGUUAUCCGGAAUCACUGGGCUUAAAGGGCGCUUAGGCGGUAGGCCAAGUCCGUGGUGAAAUCCUUCGGCUCAACCGGAGAAUGGCCUCGGAUACUGGUCUUCUAGAGGGAGGUAGGGGCAGCGGGAACUGCCAGUGGAGCGGUGAAAUGCGUUGAUAUUGGCAGGAACGCCGGUGGCGAAAGAGCGCUGUUGGACCUCUUCUGACGCUGAGGCGCGUUAGCUAGGGGAGCAAACGGG
rnacentral:rRNA from 1 species